rnacentral:rRNA from 1 species
UACAGAGGUCCCAAGCGUUGUUCGGAUUCAUUUGGGCGUAAAGGGUGUGUAGGUGGCGCGCUAAGUCGGGGUGUGAAAUUUUCGGAGCUUAACUCCGAAACUGCAUUCGAUACUGGCGUGCUUGAGGACUGGAGAGGAGACUGGAAUUCAUGGUGUAGCAGUGAAAUGCGUAGAGAUCAUGAGGAAGACCAGUGGCGAAAGGCGGGUCUCUGGACAGUUCCUGACACUGAGACACGAAGGCCAGGGG